UUUUUCCUUUUUUUAAUUUUUCUUUCUUUCUGGCUGAAACCCUCUUUACCAGGCAGCCUCACUAAUUCCAUCUAUAUCUGCUCUUCUGGCUCCAAGAUGACAGAGAGGAAUCAGAAUCCCAGCCUGGUUUGGGUUGGAAGGUUGGAUUUUAAGGCUUUUGGACUUAGAGGAGUAUCAGAUUUUCAAGGCCAGAGCUCCCAGUGUGGUUUGGACUGAUCUUCAGAAGCGAGUGUGCAGACUGCUGGACACCAUCCCACGGGAGGCUGCUGCCCAGCUCAUGGACUGUGCCAUGGAUCUGGAUUCCAGGCACAAAUUCCUCCCUGGCUCUGCUCCCUGGGCUGCAAAGACAAAGCAGAAUUCCACAAUUUUGGAAAAUCAUGGGAACAGAGGCAUUUCCCAGCCCUGCCCGAGAUGUGUUGCUGGAGAAUCUGGCCACUUCAGUCACAUCCUGGGCUUCUAGGAACGGAGCUGGGGCAGAGGAGCAGCCCUGAAUUCCUGCUGGGACCCUGAGGAUGCAGCUGGAUCCUGCAUCCUGCCCUGGGGACACUCAGGGCUCCUUUAGCUGAUAUUUUACACCUGCUGAAAACGCUGCUGCUCCUCAGGAAGCUCAGAAUUGUCUAAAAAAGACAAAAAAAAGGCUGAUUUCAUGUUCAGGUAGCUCAGAAUUGUCCAAAAAGGACAAAAAAAGGCUGAUUUCAUGUUCAGGUAGCUCAGAAUUGUCCAAAAAGGAACAAAAAAAGCCUGAUUUCAUGUUCAGGUAGCUCAGAUUUUGUUUAAAAAAGAACAAAAAAAGGCUGAUUUCAUGUUUAGAUAGCUCAGAAUUGUCUAAAAAGGACAAAAAAUGCUGAUUUCAUGUUUAGAUAGCUCAGAAUUGUCUAAAAAGGACAAAAAAAGGCUGAUUUUGUGUUUAGAUAGCUCAGAAUUUGUCUAAAAAGGAACAAAAAAAUGCUGAUUUCAUGUUUAGGUAGCUCAGAUUUUGUCCAAAAAGAAACAAAAAAAGGCUGAUUUCAUGUUUAGGUAGCUCAGAAUUAAUUUAAAAAGGAACAAAAAAAGGCUGAUUUCAUGUUUAGGUAGCUCAGAAUUGUCUAAAAAGAAACAAAAAAAGGCUGAUUUCAUGUUUAGGUAGUUCAGAUUUUGUUUAAAAAGAAACAAAAAAAGGCUGAUUUCAUGUUUUGGACUGGUUAAGUUGAGCUGGCCUUGGGCCCAGGCUUCACCUGGGGCUGGGCCAGAGGCUGUUUUGAUUCCAAAGGUUUUCCCAACAGUCCUGGAUCCCUUGGAAAAUGCUCCUUUGGAAAACCCUCCUUGUGCAGGGCCACAGGCAGGAAUGGGAGGACACAAAUUUUAGUUUUUAAGUGGCUUUGCAGCUGUGAAAUCCAGGAAAAAUCCCAUUGAAGCUUACAUUUAAAUUCCAAAAAAAAUCUGUUUAAAAAGGCUUGACCUCAUCAUCCAGCAGGCUUUUACUGGCACUAAUUUAAUGACAGGUUAAUUAACCUCUGAAAGGUGAAUUUUGGGGGUUAUCAGGCUGCAGAAUCCUCAGGCAAAGGUUUUUUUGCAGUCCUUGAAUCCUUCCCACGUUGUGUGUGCAGCUGGAGCUGGCACUGGGUUGUGUUCUUAAGGAGAUAUUCUCAUUAAAUAAAGGAAUAUCGCAUAAAUACUGAAUUUAAUUAAAUAACACAUAAGGAAAUUAGUCCAAUCUGCACUUAAUUGGCAUUCAGGUUUUGGUUAAAAUAAAUAAGGUUCCUCCAAGCCAAUAAAAAUUUUAGUUAAAUUAAGAAUAAAUAUUUUGAAGUUAGUAUUUACGUACUUGAGACCAAGAUCUGGUGGGUCAGAAUUUGUGGGGAAUUCAUUUUUACAUCCCUGUUUUACCUUACAUUUUUACAAUGUAAAAUUUACAUUUUUACAUUUAACCUUUGGCUUUUAAUUUUUUUUUUUUCCUUUAACUUUUUAAAAUCAAAGCAGUAUUUAAAAGAAAAGGUGGAUAAACAGCAGUUUCUCUGCUGCAAAAGCUGAAAUAUCUGAUUAAAUGUGAAGUGCUAAAUGGGUUUAGUUCCUGAAAAAUCACUCAGAACCUCAAAUGUGACGAGUAACAAUUAGGACUGGUCAAAAUUUGGUCAAAUAUAGUCAAAAUUUGGUCAAAUAUAGUCAAAAUUUCAGGUUUUCAGAGAGGGGAAUCCCAAAAGUGGCCUCAGAUUCUGUGACAGGAGAGUUUUCUGCCAGAAUUCAUCCGGCCAAAGUGUGGGAUCAAGCUGAGAACACAGGGAAUAGCUGGAUUGUCAGACCAAAGAAGUGUUUUUUCCUUAAAUAACUCCAGUUUUAUCGUGUUCAGGGGUUCACAGAUACCUGUGCCAAUAUUUCCUCUGCUUUAAACUUGAAUCUGCUCCGCACUGGGGUCAAGCCAAGAGCCAGCUGCUUCCUUCCUGCUUUUCCUUCUGCUCCUGCUGGGGUUUGUGCCACGUUCUUUUAAAUCCUCCUGCUUUUACAGCAUUUUUUAGAAGAUGUGGGGGUGAAUCCCAGGGCUGGUCCCAGCUGCUGGGGGGAUUUUAAUGGGAUUUUUGGGAUCACUUUUCCCACCGGCGCUGGGCACGGGGCAGGGGAUUCCUGAGCUCUGGGUCCUGCCUUUGGCUCUGCAGGUGAGCAGGGACAUCCUCCAGCUGGCCCAAAUGCCUCCUGCAGGUGGGAUGGCUGGAUUUGGGAAUUCCUAAAGAUGUUUUCCAGACACUGGCCCUGAGAGGGGUGAUCCCAAGCAGGGUUCUCUCCCGGGAACACAGGGGAAAGCAGAGCAAGCCUAUGCUGAAAUUUGAAUUUAUGAAAUCUGUUCUCCUACUAAUCCCAUCUGUGUUGGGAAGGAGCUGCAAAAAUGGGAUCAGCCAGUGGAAAGGGAACUGCCCUCAUCUCCAGCUAUCCCAAUCACCUCUUCCUUGCAGAAUUCCAGCCUGCUUUGGGCUGGAAAGAACCUUAAAGCUGUUCCAGCAGUUCCACCUGGGGCACCUUCCCCUGUCCCAGCUGCUCCAGCCCCAGUGUCCAGCCCGGCCCUGGGCACUGCCAGGGAUCCAGGGGCUGCUCUGGGCACCUGUGCCAGGCUCUGCCCACCCUGCACCUGCAGAAAUUCACAUUUCAGCUCCGUUCUGUGGGAAUCAGCCCUGGGUGGAACCCCUGGAGCUGCUCCCUGCAUUCACAUCCAGCUGUUCCCACGGCUGCCCUGACUCUCCAGCUGAAUAAAACCACAUUUAACUCUCACAGACACCUCAUUACCCCCCAGUUUUGUCCCAAAUGGGAAGGCAGACGCUCCUGGAUAAAUUCCAAAGCCAACUUUUCCUCGUGGAUGUGAUUCCUUGCUCCGUGUUUUCCAGCAGGGCAUGGAGUGCUUUUUUCAAACCAGUCAGGCUGGAAACAAAUUGGGGUUUAAUUGUCUGCUCCACUGAAGGCUUUUAAUGGUGAUAUUUUUUUAAAUAGAUGGGUUUGUAAUUUAUUUUGGGAUUUUCCAGGAUCAUAAAGCUGGCACAGGCUGGGGCAGUGAAUAUUCCUUUAAAGCAGAUUUGUGUCAAAUCUGCAGUGGAACCACAGAGCUAUUUUUCUAUGCCUUGUAGAACUCUGAAAUUUUGUUUUCUUGAUGAAAAAAUACAGAAACUUUCUAUUUCCUACUGCUGUGGUUUGUACACAGAAUAACCAGAGUGAUGCUUUAUUUACCUGUACAUAGAGAGAAAGGCCCCUGGCCUGUUUUUAAUUCAGGUUUAAAGGAUCUAAUUCUUAUUUUUAACUUUGUGUUUUGUAAAUUGUUCCUUACAAAAGCAGAAGCAUUAAACAGCACUUUGGCUGCA